rnacentral:rRNA from 1 species
UACGAAGGGAGCGAGCGUUGUUCGGAAUCACUGGGCUUAAAGCGUGCGCAGGCGGUUUAGUAAGUCAGUGGUGAAAGCCCAUCGCUCAACGGUGGAACGGCCAUUGAUACUGCUGAACUUGAAUUACUGGGAAGUAACUAGAAUAUGUAGUGUAGCGGUGAAAUGCUUAGAUAUUACAUGGAAUACCAAUUGCGAAGGCAGGUUACUACCAGUUUAUUGACGCUGAUGGACGAAAGCGUGGGGAGCGAACAGG